rnacentral:rRNA from 1 species
GACGAACGCUGGCGGCGUGCCUAAUACAUGCAAGUCGAACGAAGUUAAACGCUGAAUUGAUGGUAGCUUGCUAUUGGAUUUUCUUGUUUAACUUAGUGGCGGACGGGUGAGUAACACGUGAGCAACCUGCCUUUCAGAGGGGGAUAACGGCUGGAAACGGUCGCUAAUACCGCAUGACAUAUUCGAGUGGCAUCACUUGGAUAUACGAAAGGAGACAACUCCGACUAGAAAGAGUGGGCUCGCGUCUGAUUAGAUAGGUUGGGU